ACAAAUAUGAAACACAGUUUUAGUCACUGAGAGUGUAUUUCGUGGAUCUCUGGAGCUAUGUAUGGCUGGAUACCGGUCCCUGGACGUCCACUCCGUCGGAACGACCAGAUAGCCGCACGAGUCCAUCGCUCACACUGCAGUCAGAGCGCUCUGCAACGGAGUCACUCCAUGCAACUCUACGAUUAGCGACCAUAGGAUUGUUCCUGAGAUCCAAGCAGAGGAACCAUGCAACAUGUUCUUUCCACUGGUUCAGUUCAAAAUAAAUCUAAUUGAUAGAGCUUUGCCAUCAGGGACUGUUGAGCACUGCUACUAUGGAAGUUGCAAUAUUAUGAAAAUGAUAACAACAGGCCAUGUAUGAGGCAAGCUACAACCUCAUAACAUUGGUACCUAGUUUGGGGAAACAAAGGAAAUUUGAACCUUACCUCUAAGAAGCUGUGGACAGGUCACGAUCUGCCUUGUCAUCAAGUCCCGCAGCCAGGUUAAAAGGAGUGUCAGGGGCACUACACACACAUAUUGCAUGUGUGUUUAGAAGGCUAUUAGGACGGUCAACAUUCACAAUCUGCACCAUCAACUUGAAAGAAGUGCCUCCUUUGUCAUCUCCUAUCUUGGAGCGCUGUGGCCCAGUGGAUGAGUCUUCUGACUUUGAAACAGACACCUGACAGAUGGGUCGUUGGUUCGAAUCCCAGCCAUUGCGUAAUUUCCUUCAGCAAGAAAUUCAUCCACGUUGUGCUGCACUCGACCCAGAGCAGAGGAACCAUGCAACAUGUUCUUUCCACUGGUUCAAUGCAAAAUAAAUCUAAUUGAUAGAGCUUUGCCAUCAGGGACUGUUGAGCCCUGCUUCUACGGAAGUUGCAAUAUUAUGAAAAUGAUAACAGGCCAUUUAUGAGGCAAGCUACAACCACAUAGCAUUGGUACCUAGUUUGGGGAAACAAAGGAAAUUUGAACCUUACCUCUAGGAAGCUGUUGACAGGUCACGGACCUGCCUUGUCAGUGAUGCCAUCAAGUCCCGCAGCCAGGUUAAAAGGAGUGUCAGGGGCACUACACACACAUAUUGAAUGUGUGUUUAGAAGGCUAUUAGGACGGUCAACAUUCGCAAUCUGCACCAUCAACUUGAAAGAAGUGCCUCCUUUGUCAUCUCCUAUCUUGGAGCGCUGUGGCCCAGUGGAUGAGUCUUCUGACUUUGAAACAGACACCUGACAGAGGGUCGUGGGUUCGAAUCCCAUCCAUUGCGUAAUUUCCUUCAGCAAGAAAUUCAUCCACGUUGUGCUACACUCAACCCAGGUGAGAUGAAUGGUUACCUGGCAGGAAUUUAUUCCUUGAAAGGCCACCGCGCUGUAAAAGACUGCGGGGCUAAAGCCAGGGUAAUAAUAUCCAAGUCCUUUGGACAUGUUGGAAGCGCAUAGGGACGUUAUGACAUUAUGUGAUAUGUGCGAUACAAGAACUGCGUUAUUAUCAUAAUUAUCUUUAUCCAAACUUGAUGUUCUGGGAUUUGUCCUUCAUGCCAUGUUAGCUGAUUCAGAUGUUAGCAAAUCACAUGAAGUUACUUGAUAAAUCUGAUUCAUCAUCACUGCAAUAUAGGAUGCAACAUUUGAGAGACAUUUGAAAUUACUAUUUACUUUAACUUAAUAUUUUUUUAAGGUUAAUGAUGUAGUCCUGUACUACUUAUAAAAGGCUUACUCUGCAUAUUCAUCAAGAGUUGAGAACACCUUGUCUUUGAGAUUGUUGACAAGUAUGAGUGGAGUUUGGUAUAUUUCUGUAGCCCCUCACUUUCAUUGGGGAACUGGAAGUAUCCCCAUUUUCCAGGCAGGUUGUUUUGAAUGAUGGUGUCUUACAGCAAUCUCACCCCUUCCUCAUUUGCUGUGGAUACUUGCUUCUGUGCAAGCCAUUUGUAGGAAAUGAAAAAUGUAAAUGAAUAAUGAGCAACAUGUGACCCAAA